rnacentral:rRNA from 1 species
UACGGGGGGGGUAAGCGUUGUUCGGAAUUACUGGGCGUAAAGCGCACGUAGGCGGACAGGGAAGUUGGGGGUGAAAUCCCGGGGCUCAACCCCGGAACUGCCUCCAAAACUCCCUGUCUGGAGGAUGAGAGAGGCGAGUGGAAUUCCGAGUGUAGAGGUGAAAUUCGUAGAUAUUCGGAGGAACACCAGUGGCGAAGGCGGCUCGCUGGCUCAUUUCUGACGCUCAGGCGCGAAAGCUAGGGGAGCGAACAGG